AGAUGCUCAAUCGAGCUUACAUUCUAUAGGAGGUGGGGUGUUUUACACCCCACCUCCUAUAGAUUGUAAGCUCGAUUGAGCAGGGU
rnacentral:miRNA from 1 species